rnacentral:tRNA from 1 species
GUGGCCAUGGUGUAAUGGCAGCACACAUCCCUGUGAAGGAUGUCGCGAGGGUUCGAAUCCCUCUGGCCACCCCA